CAAUCUCAGAACUCAAAUCAAACGAAGAAUCUGUUACUUUACCUGAUUCAAAUAAUAUCGCUACGAAAAAGAAGAGGAAGAAGAACAGGAAUAAGAAUAAGAAUAAGAGCAUGAUCAAUGCUGAAGAACCAAAACCUGCGUUAGAGCUAGGAAAGAAUGAAGAACCAAAACCCGCUUUAGAGCUAGGAAAGAAUGAAGAACCAAAACCCGUGUUAGAGCUAGAAAAGAAUGAAGAACCAAAACCCGCGUUAGAGCUAGAAAAGAAUAAAGAAGUAGAAUCAAUUGCAGUUGCAAAAACUAUGACUAGGAAGAGAAAACGAAAAAGUGUGCAAAAUGGGGCAGAAUCCAAUGAGCAUAAUAUUGAACAGGCUGAAACUGCGGUUCAGAUGUCGAUACUAGAUACAGAAGUGCCUCCGAUUGACAAAGCAAUAGCUGUGAAUAAUCAACAUGUAAGCUUAGAUGAACUGGAAGAGAGGUACUUUGAGAGAAAAAAGACGAGGAAGGAAAGAAGGAAGGAGUACUUGGAGAUGAAAAAACUGAAGAGUGAAGUCAAAACUAACGGGGAAGAAAAAAUCCAGAACGAUACACCUGAAACCCUAGCUCAGAGACCUUCUGACCCGAUUACAGAACCCUCAACAGACCCGACUGUUGUAAUGGACACUCACCCUGCAACCCCAAUAGUCGCAGAACUGGAAGAGAGGCACUCUGAGAGAAAAAAGACGAGGAAGGAAAAAAAG
rnacentral:lncRNA from 1 species